UACGAAGGGGGCUAGCGUUGCUCGGAAUCACUGGGCGUAAAGCGCACGUAGGCGGCUUUUUAAGUCAGGGGUGAAAUCCUGGAGCUCAACUCCAGAACUGCCUUUGAUACUGAGAAGCUUGAGUCCGGGAGAGGUGAGUGGAACUGCGAGUGUAGAGGUGAAAUUCGUAGAUAUUCGCUAGAACACCAGUGGCGAAGGCGGCUCACUGGCCCGGUACUGACGCUGAGGUGCGAAAGCGUGGGGAGCAAACAGG
rnacentral:rRNA from 1 species